GACGAACGCUGGCGGCGUGCCUAAUACAUGCAAGUAGAACGCUGAAGGAGGAGCUUGCUUCUCUGGAUGAGUUGCGAACGGGUGAGUAACGCGUAGGUAACCUGCCUGGUAGCGGGGGAUAACUCUUGGAAACGAUAGCUAAUACCGCAUAAUAGCAGUUAUUGCAUGAUAACUGUUUGAAAGGUGCAAUUGCACCACUACCAGAUGGACCUGCGUUGUAUUAGCUAGUUGGUGGGGUAACGGCUCACCAAGGCGACGAUACAUAGCCGACCUGCGAGGGUGAUCGGCCACACUGGGACUGAGACACGGCCCAGACUCCUACGGGAGGCAGCAGUAGGGAAUCUUCGGCAAUGGACGGAAGUCUGACCGAGCAACGCCGCGUGAGUGAAGAAGGUUUUCGGAUCGUAAAGCUCUGUUGUAAGAGAAGAACGAGUGUGAGAGGGGAAAGUUCACACUGUGACGGUAUCUUACCAGAAAGGGACGGCUAACUACGUG
rnacentral:rRNA from 1 species